AGAGUUUGAUCCUGGCUCAGGACGAACGCUGGCGGCGUGCUUAACACAUGCAAGUCGAACGAUGAACUGGAGCUUGCUCCAGGAAUUAGUGGCGAACGGGUGAGUAACACGUGAGUAACCUGCCCUUGACUCUGGGAUAAGCGCUAGAAAUGGCGUCUAAUACCGGAUACGAGCUUCAGCCGCAUGGCUAGGAGUUGGAAAGAAUUUUGGUCAAGGAUGGACUCGCGGCCUAUCAGCUAGUUGGUGAGGUAANGGCUCACCAAGGCGACGACGGGUAGCCGGCCUGAGAGGGUGACCGGCCACACUGGGACUGAGACACGGCCCAGACUCCUACGGGAGGCAGCAGUGGGGAAUAUUGCACAAUGGGCGAAAGCCUGAUGCAGCAACGCCGCGUGAGGGAUGACGGCCUUCGGGUUGUAAACCUCUUUUAGUAGGGAAGAAGCGAAAGUGACGGUACCUGCAGAAAAAGCACCGGCUAACUACGUGCCAGCAGCCGCGGUAAUACGUAGGGUGCAAGCGUUGUCCGGAAUUAUUGGGCGUAAAGAGCUCGUAGGCGGUUUGUCGCGUCUGCUGUGAAAUCUGGGGGCUCAACCCCCAGCCUGCAGUGGGUACGGGCAGACUAGAGUGCGGUAGGGGAGAUUGGAAUUCCUGGUGUAGCGGUGGAAUGCGCAAAUAUCAGGAGGA
rnacentral:rRNA from 1 species